rnacentral:rRNA from 1 species
GUCUACAGCCAUACCACCCUGAACACGCCUGAUCUCGUCUGAUCUCAGAAGCUAGGGAGGGUCAGGCCUGGUUAGUACUUGGAUGGGACAUACACAGUGAAGGGUUACAUUUUAAAAA